UGCAUAUCCAAAAAGCGGAGGAAAAGAAACCAACAGGGAUUUGCCUCAGUAACGGCGAGUGAAGCGGCAACAGCUCAAAUUUGAAAUCUGGCCUCUUGGGGUCCGAGUUGUAAUUUGUAGAGGAUGUUUCGGGUACCGCCUCGGUUUAAAUUUCUUGGAACAGAAUGUCAAAGAGGGUGAGAAUCCCGUCUUGGACCGGCGGUAGGGCCUAUGUGAAACUCCUUCGACGAGUCGAGUUGUUUGGGAAUGCAGCUCAAAAUGGGUGGUAAAUUUCAUCUAAAGCUAAAUAUUGGCCAGAGACCGAUAGCGCACAAGUAGAGUGAUCGAAAGAUGAAAAGCACUUUGAAAAGAGAGUUAAACAGUAUGUGAAAUUGUUGAAAGGGAAGCGCUUGCAACCAGACUUGAGCGCGGCGGUUCCCCCUUGCUUCUGCUUGGGUUACUCCGCCGUGUCCAGGCCAACAUCGGUUCUGGGGGUCGGUCAAAGGCUCUGGGAAUGUAUCUACCCACGGGUAGACUUAUAGACCAGGGUGUCAUGCGACCUCCCGGGACCGAGGAACGCGCUUCGGCUCGGAGUGUUGGCGUAAUGGUUGUCAGCGACCCGUCUUGAACCACGGACCA
rnacentral:rRNA from 1 species